UCCCCUUGGGUGAUCUAAACGACAUGUGAUCAUGAAAUCUAUGGCCAUAGUAAUUCCUUUAGUGGAAUUUGACAUAUGUUCAUUGGAGAUAGAGUAUGUUAGUGGAUCACAUAAUAAGUGGAAUCUGUAACUCAAGGAUUUAAGAGAUAAUCUUGAUAGGUGAUAAUACUACCUUGUUAUAUUAUGGACACUAGUUCAUAGGGAGUCUACAUGUGGUGGAUAAUAGGUCACUGAUCCAAGCACUUAGUGUCCCGUUGUUAUUUAUAUAGGGUAUUAGAGUUUAGUUGAUUCUCUAUAAUUGGAUGUUUAAUCAACUUCAAAAUUGGAUUUUGGAGCUAGUAUUCCUAUGGAUCCUAAUGGUUUUGUGCAUAAGGUCAUUUUAGUAAUUAUGUAAGAUUGCCCAGGGAUAAGUGAACAAGGUCUCUUGAUUGGUCUAAUUGAUUAAUUAGACGACCCUAUUGGGUUAAUUAAUCAAUAUGACCCAUUUUGGGCUACAUUAAGUGGCCCAAGCCAAUAACAAGUCACUUAAACCUAGUUAAGAUCCCUAUAAAUACCCCUUAGGGGUUAGGAUUUCUAUAACUUUUGUCUUCCACCAUCUAGAGAAAAAGAGAUUCAUAGCCUUCACCCUCAUUUCCUCUCCACCGAAAGNNNNN
rnacentral:lncRNA from 1 species